CCUACGGGAGGCAGCAGUGAGGAAUAUUGGUCAAUGGACGAGAGUCUGAACCAGCCAAGUAGCGUGAAGGAUGACUGCCCUAUGGGUUGUAAACUUCUUUUAUAUGGGAAUAAAAUGUUCCACGUGUGGGAUUUUGUAUGUACCAUAUGAAUAAGGAUCGGCUAACUCCGUGCCAGCAGCCGCGGUAAUACGGAGGAUCCGAGCGUUAUCCGGAUUUAUUGGGUUUAACGGGGGCGUAGGUGGAUUGUUAAGUCAGUUGUGAAAGUUUGCGGCUCAACCGUAAAAUUGCAGUUGAAACUGGCAGUCUUGAGUACAGUAGAGGUGGGCGGAAUUCGUGGUGUAGCGGUGAAAUGCAUAGAUAUCACGAAGAACUCCGAUUGCGAAGGCAGUUCACUGGACUGCAACUGACACUGAGGCUCGAAAGUGUGGGUAUCAAACAGGAUUAGAUACCCGAGUAGUC
rnacentral:rRNA from 1 species